CGGUACUGCAUCCUCAUUAAAUUUAAAUCUUUUCCGUCACUUUCGUUGUGUUCCGGCUGAACAGGACCGAAGCGUUUCUGACAAACACGAAGCCCACAGCUCCUGGAAAAGUUUGACAUUCUACGAACUUUAUUGACAAGUGGCCUGAAAUCGCUGACAGCAUGGAGGAAAAGAUCAAGAUCCAUGUUCAUGGCUUUGACCUUUUCUCCAUCCAGUACAAUAUUUUCUGGAGCCGAAUGUCAGCAACCAUCAACAAUGGCUCCCUACCCCAAAGCGGCAUCAAUUUCAGCCUUGUUAGGGCCUCCGCGGUCCUGCGUGCGCAGACACAUACACACCCGGCGGUGGGCCYGGCGGCGCGCGUCGUAAACCGAUCCCUCUCUGGCUGUCAGCUAACAAGUGGCUACCCGCUGGGCGAAAAAAGGGCAUGGUGAGAAAUGCUCUCAAUCACCUCCAAUUAAUCCUCCCUCCCCUCGUUGUUCGAAGAGACUUGAAAAGGACAGUUUUUCCAUGAAGUGCGAGGAGGGGGCGCUCAGGCCUCAUCCUGGCUGUGAUUGUGCACUGAUAUUGAUUUAUUAUCCUCCUACAAGGACUUGAGGACCUCACACCAGACCUGUUGGCAUCAGGGAGUCAUUAGYCAAGAAAGACUGGGGCAAAUGCAUUUUUAAUAUUUUUUUAUUCUUAUAUUAAAAGAAUUUUCAGCUACA